CCUACGGGGGGCAGCAGUGGGGAAUAUUGGACAAUGGGGGCAACCCUGAUCCAGCCAUGCCGCGUGUGUGAAGAAGGCCCUCGGGUUGUAAAGCACUUUCAGUGAGGAAGAACGCCUGGUGGUUAAUACCCAUCAGGAAAGACAUCACUCACAGAAGAAGCACCGGCUAACUCCGUGCCAGCAGCCGCGGUAAUACGGAGGGUGCGAGCGUUGAUCGGAAUUACUGGGCGUAAAGCGCGCGUAGGUGGCUUGAUAAGCCGGUUGUGAAAGCCCCGGGCUCAACCUGGGAACGGCAUCCGGAACUGUCAAGCUAGAGUGCAGGAGAGGAAGGUAGAAUUCCCGGUGUAGCGGUGAAAUGCGUAGAGAUCGGGAGGAAUACCAGUGGCGAAGGCGGCCUUCUGGACUGACACUGACACUGAGGUGCGAAAGCGUGGGUAGCAAACAGGAUUAGAUACCCUUGUAGUC
rnacentral:rRNA from 1 species